rnacentral:misc_RNA from 1 species
GAAAAGUAAUAAAAAAUAGAAAAUUUUCUUAUCCUUAUUAAGAUAUUCUUUACACGUAAUUUGCUUUGCCAACUUAAAAAAUUGGCUAAAAUUAUUGCCACUGUUAAUAGAUUGAGCUAAAAUUUAUAAAAUAAAAAAAAAUUCAUGCUUUUUUGGUCAUUAGGCCAUUAAUAAAUGAUAAUGUGUUAGGUGGGUUGUGUUGGGUUAUGUGGGUAUUAAAUGGGUAGACAUGUCAUUUUAACCAAGGCAAAUGACAACCUGAAUUACCAACUUCACUCCUGUGGUUAUUAUUACUAAUUGAUAAUUCAAUAUGGAUGUUUUCAAGUGUUGCAUGAAAGAUGGCUUAAAUUUUUUAUGGUUGAAUGCUAUGUUGCUAAUGUUUAAAACGCCUUAUGAGUUUGUCUUGUAUCUUUCAGGCGGCAGCAAUUCGAUUGGAA